rnacentral:lncRNA from 1 species
CUCGUCUUAAUCAAGGAAUCCUGACUUAACCUUAUUCUUUCUCACAGACACAGUUCAAUGCUGCAAUGGAGCCUGUGGUGAGCACUGAUUCAAUAGGUGGUUUGCCUCCUUAGACGCAGAAUCACAGGACUAGAAGGAGUGAAAACAACACUUUAUCUCUACAUUGGCUUCAGGGAGGACAGUGCCCAAACCACCUCAAGUACAGAAUAAUUUACUCUCAUUUAGAAGAUCUCCAGACAGAGCUCGAAUGGCUCCCUUGGCAACAAAUUUUAGUUUUAACAAUCUUUGUAGCUUUAUCCUUCCCUCCAGAUAAUGCCAUAACUGUGUACUCUAGAUUAAACGUUUUCUCCUUUUCUGCCCACAGUGCUUUUGAAGCCAAACAUGAUUUCACAUAUAGUGUUGGGUCAUCAUUAAGUCACCUUUCAGAAGUCCCUCUAAAUUAAGGAGUCCUCAUCCUUUCCUUAAAUUUUUCAUGUGUCCUGACCUAUGAGAAUCUGUUAUACGCAUGUUUAAUUUCUAUGGAAUACCUCAUCAUACAACUUGAAAUUCUGAUUGACUAGUGGUUUUUUUCCUGCAUAAGUGCUACUUCAUCUAUGCCUCAGUAACAAACAACAACAAUCACUUAAUGGAAAUGGUGGCAGGCAGAAUUCUAAGAUAGCUGCCAGAUUCCUGCCGCCCCUGGUGUGCAUUCCUUGAUAAUCACUCUCCUUUGAGUGCAGGCAGACCUGUGUGUAUGAUACCACUGCUAUGAUUACAUUGCUCAUCAGGCGACUGUGAGCUAGCCAAAAUGGAGAAUAUUCUGGUGGGUCUGACCUAGCCAGGUGAGCCCGUUUCUGAGUCAUAGAGAUUGAAAGUGUGAGAGGGAUUUGAUGUGAGGGGGAAUUCUCUGUUGCUGGUUUUGAGUAUAAAAGGGGCCAUAUAAUAAAGACUUGAGAGUGGUCACUAGUUGCUGAGAUCCAUCCCUAAUUGAAGCUAGCAAGAAACACUUCUACCAACAACUUGAAGGAAUUUGGAAAAGAAUCCUUCCCUAGUCAAGUCUCUAGAGGGGAAUGCAGCUAACUGACACCUUGAUUUCAGCCUCGUGAGACCCUGAACAGAGAUAUCAACCACUCAGUUGCCUGGACCUCUGACAGAAAUGAAAGAUAAUAAAUGUCUGUUGUUUUAAGCCACUAAGUUUAUGGAAAUUUGUUACACAGCAAUGGAAAACCAAUAUAGGCCCCUAUCCAUGAGUUACAUUGUAGUAAACACCUUUCCUACAUUAUAGAUAUCUCAUCUAACUCCUACAGCAACCCUUGAGGUAAUCACUGUGUCCAUUGUCAGAGCAAGAAAACUGAAGCUCGGCUUCAUAAACAGAAGCAGCAAGGAUUGAUUCCUUAAAUACUGUGAAUUCCACUCUCACUUUAUUUGAAUUUGUGACAGUGAAAUUCACAGUAUUCUUUAAACAUUUUACCCCCAAGCGAUGCUCUUUCCUCUGAAUUGCUUUGCCUGUCCUAAUAAUUUUAUUUAUACAGGCUGAUGCUGGUGACUUGGGAAUAGUAUUUUUAUCCAAACCAUUUGGCUUCUUAUAGGUAUGAGCCACUGAGGGAGCUAUUUUUUAUUUAAUUGUGCUUUGGAAAAAUCAAACGUAGCCUUGAGUUUUAAAAUUAUUAAGCUUACACUUUUUCACAAAAUAGAAAUGGAGUAAUAUAGCUCUGUCCUUCCGUUUUUUAAAGCCAAAAAAUGUAAGAAUGGAAUGUACUGGCUCACUGCUCCCACGGUGUCCUUACCAGCACAACUUACCCCAUCCCUCCCUAGCCCACUCUUGAGGAUACUUUCUUGCCACUGUCAGGCUUACUCCUGCCUCCUAGACUGAGGAAAGAAAAGCCUCCUGGUUUGGAGCUCAUAAUCAAGUCAGCCUUGCUGCAGGGCUCAUUUUAAGCCAGUAUCCUGGACCAGAUAAGGAAGCUGAAGCUUUGAGAAUUUAAUUUGCUCAAGGGGAGGCCAGGACAAGAAAUAAUGAAGAGUCCGAUGUGGCAGGAAUGUAGGAAACAAGUCAAUGAUGGAAGAUAAAUAUGGAGACGUGAUGAAGGCAAAAUUCUGAAGGGUCUUAGAGCCCAUUAUAAGACGUUUGGUUUUUAUGGUUAGUGAGAAGGAAAACCAUUGGGGGUGGUUGGGCAGAAGAGUAAUAUGACUUGACUUAUAUUAAAAAAAUAAUUUGGUGGCUAGGUUGAGAAUAUAUGUAAGCAGGAGUGGGGUUGGGGGUGAGUGGCUGGGGCUGUUUAUAUCAAGGGUGGAUCCAGGCAGACCAGGCAGGAAGGCAUUGCAAUAAUCCAAGCAAAGGGAGAGGGUGUCUUGGUCACUAAACUGAUGCCAGAUAUGAAUUAGCUAUACUAGAAGAUAGUGAGAGAUGGUACAUAAAAUCAUACACAUUUAUUGCAACUGUAUGUAUUCCUUAAUUACAAUUUACUACAUAUAGACUAAUCUAGAUGAGCGCUUUCUAGGUACUCUUUAGUAAAUUCAUAGUCAACUCAUAAUAAUGAAUAUGGUGGUCAUUUUUUACAAAGCAACUUCCUGUGCAUUACUUUGAAAACAAUCCAAUAAGGUAUAUGUGGCAAAUACUACUCCUGCAAUUUAACAUGAAAAAAACAGACUUGGUGAACUUAGAGCUUGGCUUACCAGUAUAAUAUCAACUAUACGUCCUUUCUCCACUGAACUCAACUUCCUAACUAAGCUUGUGCCAAGGGGCAUUUCAAGAUAAAAAUGAAAAAAGAGGCUACAUCUUCCAGGAUAAAGACUUUGGUCUGAAAGUAACAUGUGCAUUAAAAGUUCAACUUUGAUAAAAGUUACAAAUCACUAUACAGAAGACCUAUUAAAUGAAAUAGACCCCAAAUAAACACAACAAAGGCUUUUCUUUUGUAAGAUGAUUUUAAGUUAAAAUACUGAAGAACCUUUUGAGAAAGUGCUCAGAACAUUUCCUCUGCUCACUGCAGCUGCAAGAAUCAGCACAAACAUCCACAUCCUAUUAGCUUUGAUUUCCAACUCAUGGAAACCCAACCUGUCGGUUUUUCUCUUUUUUCCCAAUACAUAGUGACAUUAACUCAGCCUUUUCUUCAGAAGUCUUCUUUUCUUGGCUGUUAAAUAGAUUAUCACCUCUCUCAUGACAAGGCCAAGAAUCAGGUGAGGCACUCAUCUUGAGCACAAAAUUUAAGGGGGAAAAACUCAAUGAUCAAGACAAUAUUUUAAUGUGAUUUUUAAAAAACCAAAAUCCAUAGAAGAAUAUCACAGGCUAGGCGUGCUUGCUCCUGCCUGUAAUCCCAGCACUUUGGGAGGCUGAGGUGGGCGGAUCACUUUAGGUCAGGAGUUCAAGACCAGCCUGGCCAACACGGCAAAACCCCCAUAUUUAAUAAAUAUACAAAAAUUAGCUGGGUGUGGUGGCAUGCACCUGUAAUCCCAGCUACUCGGGAGGCUGAGGCAGUAGAAUGGCUUGAACCUGAGAGGCGGAGCUUGCAGUGAGCUGAAAUCAGGUCACUGCACUCCAGCCUGGGCAACAGAGUGAAAGUGUGUCAAGAAAGAAAGAAAGAAAGAAGGAAGGAAGGAAGGAAAGAAAGAAAGGGAAAGAGAAAGAAAGAAGAAAGAAAGAGAAAGAAAAAGGAAGAAAGAAGAAAGAAAGAGAAAGAAAAAGAAAGAAAGAGAAAGAAAAAAGAAAGAAGGAAAGAAAGAGAGAGAGGGAGGGAAGGAGGGAAGGAGGGAGGGAGGAAGGAAGGGAGGAAGGGAGGGAGGGCGGAAGGAAGGAAGGGAGGAAGGAGUCACAAUUUUAAAGACAGUGUCAGUGUUACUGAAUAACCUUUUGCCUCAAGUUCCAAUAGGGCUGAGUACAACACUGGAAAGUGAUAUUUCCUUCUGAUGUUUUAUGUUUCAAUAUUCUUUCUGCAUGUAUAUUCAGUAGACGCUAUAGGUAGUUUAUCUCAGGUGAGGCUGAAAUAUAAAGAGAAUAAGAAUGGAGAUAGGGCAAAUCUUGUGUCUUACAGAAUAUAUUGGCCACUCCAUGUUUUUCCUUUAAUAUGUUACAAUUCUCUAAAGCAUCACAAAAUGAAACCUGUCAUCAUCUUAAUCUCUGUUACACAGAGCAAACACCAAGCAGGCAUGACCACGCCCUCCCUACACUGGUAGUUGAGAUGCUGCAAUGCAGCAUAUUAAAAAAUAGUGCUGACUUGUAUGGCACCACUUUGCUUAUGCUCUGAAUGCUGGAAGUAAAUGCUGACUAUCUGGAGAUAAUAAUAAUAUGACUUUUGAAUAAGCAAGGCACAAACAGCAAUUAUACAGUUAACACAAGCUAUGACUGUCAAGCAAUUGUUAUGCUUAGCACAAUUGCUUGAACCAUUAAUUAGAGUACAGCAUUUCCUCUUGAGAUAAUGCUGAUUAAAAUGUACAUACACUCUUCUGGAAGAUAACUUCAGGGUUGACGUGAAAACAGCAAAGACAGAUUUCAAAUAAAUACCUUUGCAACAAAGGUAUUUUGUACAGAGGGGAAUGCUUGUCUCCCUGCCCUGUUGAGAGCUGAUUAUCACAGGGUCAUUUUGUGGUUGGCUGGGCAAGUUUUCCAGAAAGAUAAAAGAGAUGAAGAAUGAGGAUAGGAGUCAACUAAAUUCUUAGCAGCUAACAAACAAUUUUCUUUGGAGUUGACUUUCUCUUUAAUCUUUUGUAAUUGCAGAUACAUAAUUCAAUGUGCUUUUAUAAAAUAUACAUGCCAUUUUCCCUGUAAACAGGUAUGAGAGCUGACCUCAGCAAUUAGCAAAAUCCUCAUACACACUGAUUUAACCGACCCAGUGUGCAUCCAGAAACCACUGCAGCAUGAGUUUGCGGGGACUUUGGGGUCUUUAAAUACUCAUUAAACAUUACAACUAGCUAGGACUCUUUUGGGGGACCAAUGGAGGCGCUUUGCUGAGCUGCUCCCUGAUGUUGUAAAAUGCAAAAAGUGAGUAAGCAGUCACAGUGCACCCUGCUUCCUUAUAGUAUAGGGCCUCGCCCUUCAAACUGUCAUCUGAGGACCAGCAGUAUCAACAUCCCCACAGAGCUUGUUAGAACUGCAGACUUGCAGGCCCUACUCUAGAUCUAUUGCAUCACAAUUUGCAUUUUAACUAGAUCUCCAUGUAAUUAUUAUGCACAUUAUAGUUCAAGAAGUACUGGCCUAAGAACAUUUUGCUCACAAAUCUGGGCUUAGAAAGCCAUCCUUGUGACUGGAGGAAAAUAUCGAAAGAGUGACAUGAUCUGAAACUGGAAACAAAUGCAAAGCAGGUGUGAGCCAUUAGAAAUGCAGCAGCCCUUCAGCUCGGCAAGGAGAUUACAAGGCUGUAUAGUUAAUGGGUAGGUAACUUAGUAAAUAGGAGACUUUGUUGUAGAUAAAAUCAUUGUUAGGUAUUUGGAAAUUAUGAGGAAUAAUAUAUAUAAUGCCCUAGGGGUGAGUAGGGGUGAUUGCUGGAAGUCUCUUACAGACUGAGCAGGUAAGAAGAAGAAAGGAGAAGAAACCUUCUUCUGGUUUUUGUGUUUGUGGCUGCAGACUAUGCCGUGCAAGACUUGGUAAACUGGUCCCUACCGCAGAGGAUUUUAUACAGAGCACGCUAGUGGCUCACAGAAUAUUUCACUGAUUGCCUUGCCCGCUUCUCAAAGGCCCACUUCUCUGUGGAAUGAUGCAGUUGCUAAGAAGAGCUGUUAAUGUCAUGACCUCAAUGAAUAAAAAAGACUUCCUUUUCUCCAUGCCCACUCAAGUAAAAGGCUUCUCUCUGAACUCCUGCUAAUUUUUCAUCAGCAAAGGUGCACAGCCUUUUGGAAGUGAAAUGAUUACUAGUGAAGAAAAAGAAAGAACCUAACACUUAUUUUACAGUAAGUAGCAAGUUGAUCUCCAUUAGGGUCAACCCUCUGGGGUGCUCUGGCCCUUCCCUUUAUGUUCUGAGACAGAUACAUCCCUGAGAAAAUUCUAGUCUCUUCUAAUCCUGGAAUAAUUUAGGGAAGCAAGUCUUGAACUUCUUCCAUCAAAGCCCAAGAAGUAACCAUAAAAGAUGUCUUAAGGGUUCUAGAAACACAUCACCAAGGGGAUUGGAUAAAAAUGUGAAAUUUGUUUAAAACCUGAAAUGUUCACUUUUAAAAAGCAUGCAAAUUGUGACUACCCUUCCACAAUGUAUUUGUUUUACUGCAAAAAUAAUUUAAAUGUCUUUCAGAUUAAAUUAUGAAAAUAUUUACCUCCAAAUUUUGGCAUGAAGUUAAAACUCCUGGAUAAUGUGCUAUGUUUAUUCUGUGGGUUUUUAUAUCCCUGGCACACUGCCAUGUAUCUUGCCGAAUAGCCAAAUAUUAGGAUAUUAUACUACCCUGAUGAUUUUGCUAAAUAAUUAUUAUGCCAAACAAGACAGUAAUUCAAAGAAGGACAAGUGUCUGAACUCUUGUUCUUUCAGAAAGCUUAAGAGUAGUAGUGAGUGCAUCUGCUGCGUGACUCCUGCAAUCUCAGCAUCUGUUUCUAGUUAGAGAGCCAGUGAGUAAAUUGAAUCAGGGUCACUGAAGCAGGUGUUCUUGGUGAAUUGCAGAGCCUCCCAGUGACCACUCUUCAGACAAAACUUCUUAUAAUAGCUUCCUUCCCUGAAUCUUUUGCGAAACAUCAAAUCACAAAGAGAUCUUAUUGUGAGUAUUACCUAAAAUUUUUUCCUGUCUUAUGUAGCAAAGAGGGAAGUCACUGAGUCAGCUUAGAUAUGUGUAUGUGUUCUAAAAAAAAUGAAUGUAUCCAUGUGACUUUUUUUUCUUUUUUUUUUUUUUUUGAGAUGGAGUUUUGCUCUGUCACCCAGGCUGGAGUGCAGUGGCGUGAUCUCUGCUCACUGCAACCUCCACCUCCUGGGUUCAAGUGAUUCUCCUGCCUCAGCUUCCCGAGUAGCCUGCCACCACACGUGGUUAAUUUUGUAUUUUUAGUAGAAAUGGGUUUUCACCAUGUUAGCCAGGCUCGUCUCAAAUUUCUAACCUUCAGUGAUCUGCCUACCUUGGCCUCCCAAAGAGCUGGGAUUACAGGAAUGAGCCACCGCACCUGGCCCCAUGUGACUUUAAUAUUUUACUGCAUAUCUUCCUCGGCAAAUAACUAAAUCCUGUCAUGUGGGAGGGAGUUUGGAAAUAGUGCUUAGGAACCACCCACUAUCUCAUUUGUGAAGUCCGUUGCCACUUGCGGGGGGCGCCAGGCAAUGACAUCAACAGACUUAUCUGGUUAUGUCUUUGAGCCUUGGAUCCUUGUAAUUGUUUUGCUUGAUAAAGCUAUCUUUUGUUAUAAAAGACUUUGCCAAAAAAAAGUCUUUGGCUUAAGGCAUUUAAAUAAUGCAAGCUUCAAAGUUAGUGAACAGAUUAUGAAAAAUGUCUGAAUAGUAAUUUGGAAGGCAAUUUGCACAUAUAUUUCUAUCUGGAAGAAUAAUAGUUUGUAAACGAAAUACAUCUUAGGCCAUAAUUAUAAGUGUCAGAACAUGAAAGGAUUGGUGAAUUGGAGAAACAGAAAUUAAAAAUAAAACUUAAAAAAAUAAGUCAGAAUAUCAUAAUGGUACAAAAUAAAUGAGACAAUAGAAACAUAGACAUUUCCCUAAUUCAUAAUGUAGUUAUUUGUUCUGGAGAUUUGUUCAUUAUUGUAAAAACUAGCUACAUUUAAUCGUUUUAAUUGUUGUUAUGAAAAUACUUUGCUUCAUUUAUUUUAAAUAUAUCCUACUAAAAAAAGAGUAUAUAUAAAAACACAUGUACAAUUUAGAACAUAACGUUAAAACAAACACUUACGUAUUUUCCAACCAGCAAAAGGAAAAGAACCUUAAUGGUGAUCUUGUGUAUUUGUGUCCAGAUGCGUUUUUCUCCCUUUACCUGGGGUAACAAUCAUUGCAUAUUUUGUGUUUAUCAAUUCUUUCCUUUAGAAAUGCUUAUCCAUUUGUGUAUUUAUGCCUAAACAAUAGAUGGUUUCAUUUCGCUUGUUUUGAGCUUUAUUAUAUUUGUUUGUAGUCACCAUGGAUGUAACCUUUUUCCACGCAAAAUUAGCUUUCUAAGAAUCAUCCAUGUUGGUGGAUAUAGCUCUGUGAUAUUCCAUCAUGUGAUACUGCAAGUUAUAACUCUAGUUAUAUAUCUAUUUUCCAAUCAAUGAAUAUUUACAUUGAUCCAAAUUUUCAUUAUUAUGCACAGUCUGGCAAGGAAGACUCAUAUAUGACUCCUGGUACAUGGGUACAAGGAUUCUAUAGGCUAUAUACCUAAUCGUGGAAUUGUUGAGUCUCAGAGUAUUCAAAUGUUCAACUUGACACAUUAUCAUGAAACUGUUCUCCAGAGUGGCUUUCCAAUUUACUCUUCCACCAAAAAUGUGUUCCUAUUGAUCUACAUCUUCUCUAGAACAUCUUAUUUUAGGUAAUUUAAUUUUUUCAUUGUUAUGAAAUGGUAUCUCACUGUCUUAUGCAUUUCUCUGGUUAAUAAUGAGAUUGGUCAUAAAUUCAUAUGUUCAUUGUGAAAUGUCUAUUCUUUUGUUGCCCAUUUCAUCUAUUGGGAUGGCUAUCUUCUAACCGAUUUUACAUAGUUCUAGUGGUUGUUUAUGCAUUCUGGAAACCGGUUCUUUAUUAAUCAUAGGUGUGGCAUUAUGGUUCACAUUGUUACUCUCUUGCUAUACUGUGAUGAACAGAAGUUUUUCAUUUUCAUGAAGUAGACUUAUCAACAUUUUCUUAUGUUUUAGAUGUUUAUUUAGAAACCCUUCUCUACAAACAUUCUAAUAUUUUCUUUUAAAAGUUUUGAAGUUUUGACUUUUACAUUUAAAUUAUUAAUCAAAUUAGAAUUAUCUUCCAUAUACAUGUGAGUCCUCAAUUCUUGCUCCAUUAAACAAUUUAUCCUUCCUCGCAUCAGUAUCUUCCCACCUUAAUUGCUAUUGGAUUAUAAUAACUCUUGAUAUUUGGUGUGCCAAAUUCCCCCAACAUAUUAAUCCUUUCGGAUAUUCUAUUCUCAGCCCUUUAUUUUUCCAUAUGAAACUCAGAAUCAUGAAGUUUAUUUAAAAUUCUGCUAGGAUUUUGAUAAAAAUUUCCAUAAAAAACUUUUCAGUUUGACAUUGUUAGGACUGAGUUUUCUUAUCCAUGAAUGUGAAAUAUCUGUGUUAUUUUAUCUGCAAAAUAAAGAUAAAGAAAUAUCUUUAUUAUUGUUUAAUGUUUUUAUGAAAAGUUCAUGAUUUUUUAUCUAGAGGUAUCACACAUCUUUUUUUAGAUAUAUUCUAGGAUACUUUUUAGUUUUGUUGCUUUUGUAAGUGUUGUCAUGUUGGGAGUCUCUGAGAACCUCCUCAAGCUUGAUGACCCACUAGAAGGACUCUCAGGACUUAGAAGUGGUUAUAUUGAUGGUCACAGUUUAUUAUAACAAAAAGACACAGAUAACAAUAAACAAAGAGAAAAGGCACAUGGGGUGAAGUUCAGGAGAAAUAAGGCACAAGCCUUCAGGUAUUCCCCUCCCAGGAGUAAAUAUGCUAACUGAAGCACACAAAAAAAGAAAAGAUAAAUGCAAAAAAGAGCAUAAAAUAUAUAUGACAUAGUUUUAAAAAUGUGUAACAUGCAUGUAAUUGAAGUAUCAGAAAGAAUGGAGACAAGGAAUAGGGGAAGAAGGAAUAUUUGAAGAGAUAAUAACCAAAAACUUUCUAAAACUAACCCACAAAAUCAAGAAAUUCUGAAGAAACUAGAAAAGAUACAUGCAAAAUAAAUCCCAUUUUGGCUCAUAGUGAACUCCUGAAAGCCAAGGACAAGGACCAAUUACUUAAAGCACCCAAAAAAAAACAACAUUGCUUUCAUAAUAGCAAUAAAAGACUAAUAACUGAAUUUUCUACACAAAUGAUGGAAGCUGGAAGAUAUAAAGAUCAUAAGGAUAUAUUCUAUUCCUGGAAUUGAUGUGCCUUGGUCAUAAUGUCUUUUUUAAAAUACAAAGUUGUAAUCAGGUUUCUAAAUAGUUUAAGAUUUUUGCAUCUAAUUGUUUGGAAAGUUCCCCCUUUUUUAUACUCAUAUCUGCAUUAGCUAUCAAGGCUAAAAAUGACUGCUUUAAAAGAGUUAAGGAAAGUUUCCUCUUUGUUAUACCUAUGAAAAAGUUUAUAUACAAUUAAAAUUUGAUGAUAACAUUUGUUAUAUUUUCUUAUAGAACUAUUUGUAUUUGGUGUUCUAUUUAUGAGGAGGCUUUUAAAAUAUUGAUUUGACUUCUUUAGUAGUUGUAGGGCACUGAAGUUUUCUGGUACUCUAACUGCAGCCCACGUAACUUAUCUUAUAUUCUCAUUAUCAUUUAGUUCUAAGUAUUUUUUUACUUUCUAUUAUAAAGUAUUCUUUGACCUAGGAGGUAUUUAGAAGUUUGCUUUUAAACUGUCAAAUGUAUGAAAUUGUCUUAAUUUUCCUUUUAUUACUAAUAGCUACAUUAUUUUCCUUCUUGUGAGAGAAGGUAGUCUGUGGUACUUUUGGAAAUAUUUAAAGACUUUUUGGCCUAGUAUGUGAUAAAUUUGUGAAAAUGUUCCUUGCAUGUCAAAAAGAAUUAUCCAGAAUUAUCCAAUAAUUGGAUAAAUGUUCUUAAUAUGUUUAUUAGGACAUUCAUGUUCAUUGUGUUUACAAUUUCUAUAACAUUGCUAGUUUUGAUCUGCUUUUCAUGUCAAUACCUGAGAUAGGUCUGUUUAAAUUUCUUACUAUAAUGGUAGAUUUGUUACAAUUUCAUUGUAGCCUGUACAUUUUUGCUUUAUAUAUGCUGAAUAAAUGUUAAUAUGUGCCCAUAUAAGCUUAAACAUUAUAAUUACUUUAUCUUCCUGGAAAAUUGUAAUUUUCAUCAAUAUGUGCUCACCCCCUUUUUAUCUGGUAACUAUUUUGACCUU